GAUGAAGAACGUAGCGAAAUGCGAUACUUGGUGUGAAUUGCAGAAUCCCGUGAACCAUCGAGUCUUUGAACGCAAGUUGCGCCUCAAGCCAUUAGGUUGAGGGCACGUCUGCCUGGGCGUCACAUAUCGUUGCCUGAUGCCAGUUUCCUCGUGAUGGGUGACUGUGCAGGGCGAAUGAUGGCUUCCCGUGAGCAUUGUUGCCUCAUGGUUGGUUGAAAAUUGAGUCCUUGGUAGGGAGCGCCGUGAUAGAUGGUGGUUGAGUGACGAACGAGACCCAAUCAUGUGAGACCCCUACCGAAUUUGGCCUUCACGACCCACAUGCGUCUUUGGAACGCUCAUGACGAGACCUCAGGUCAGGCGGGGCUACCCGCUGAGUUUAAGCAUAUCAAUAAGCGGAGGA
rnacentral:misc_RNA from 1 species